rnacentral:rRNA from 1 species
UCAGUCGACUCCUACGGGGAGGCAGCAGUGGGGGAAUAUUGGACAAUGGGGGGGAACCCUGAUCCAGCCAUGCCGCGUGUGUGAAGAAGGCCUUAUGGUUGUAAAGCACUUUAAGCGAGGAGGAGGCUACUGAGACUAAUACUCUUGGAUAGUGGACGUUACUCGCAGAUAAGCACCGGCUAACUCUGUGCCAGCAGCCGCGGUAAUACAGAGGGUGCGAGCGUUAAUCGGAUUUACUGGGCGUAAAGCGUGCGUAGGCGGCGUUUUAAGUCGGAUGUGAAAUCCCCGAGCUUAACUUGGGAAUUGCAUUCGAUACUGGGAAGCUAGAGUAUGGGAGAGGAUGGUAGAAUUCCAGGUGUAGCGGUGAAAUGCGUAGAGAUCUGGAGGAAUACCGAUGGCGAAGGCAGCCAUCUGGCCUAAUACUGACGCUGAGGUACGAAAGCAUGGGGAGCAAACAGGAUUAGAUACCCUGGUAG